CUCAAUGCUGCUGGCCACCUGGAUCCUCACACACACUCGGGCGCACACACAGGCACACACACACACUCUCACUCUCCCUGUACACACACACACACAUGCUUACUCUCCCUGUACACACACACACACACGCUCACUCUCCCUGUACACACACAUUCUCCCUGUACACACACACUCUCCCUGUACACACACACACAUGCUCACUCUCCCUGUACACACACACUCUCCCUGUACACACACACACAUGCUCACUCUCCCUGUACACACACAUUCUCCCUGUACACACACACUCUCCCUGUACACACACACACAUGCUCACUCUCUCUGUACACACACGCGCAUGCUCACUCUCCUUGUACACACACUCCCUGUACACACACUCCCUGUACACACACACACGCUCACUCUCCCUGUACACACACAUUCUCCCUGUACACACACACUCUCCCUGUACACACACACACAUGCUCACUCUCCCUGUACACACACACACUCUCCCUGUACACACACACACAUGCUCACUCUCCCUGUACACACACACACGCUCACUCUCCCUGUAC
rnacentral:lncRNA from 1 species